AUGGCUCCAGUGCGCUCAUGUCCAAUAUGCUAUAAGGUUGUGGUUGGCUUUAGUCAGCACCUUAGGUAUGUACACCAUGUGAGGAACAGUGAGGAGAGGGUACUCCUCUGUAAGUGGCAGUCAGGCCGUGUCAAUGUCAGGCAGGAGCAGUGUCCAGUGUCAGGAUGCUCCACACAUCUUAGCAGACUGGACCGGCAUAUAGACUCCCACUCAGAGCUCAACAGAGCACAGAGGAGACAGGUUUUAGAGGACCUUAGGAGACGGCUGACGAUGGAGAGGCUGGCGGUGUUGAGGGCAUCGACCCCUGACAUCCCUAUGGCGACAGAUUUAGACAUUGUGGAGACUGUAAGGAGAGAAGAGGAGGAGGAGGAAAUGUUAUGUUCACCUACAGAAGCAGAGGAGGAAGUGGACUGCAAAGAGGAUUCCUGCCACUGCCAUGCACCAAUCCUGAGACUGAAAAAAGCUGUAAAAGAGAGGGAUGAGGCACUGCAUACAAGAAGUGAGACCAACAAAUCCAUUAAAGAGGACAACCUUAAGUUGAUCUCUGAUCUGCAAAGGUUGAGAAAGAAGUACCAGCUGCUGAAAAGGCAGAUGGGGAUUGGCAUGGUGAAGGCCCUCAACUUUCAGGCAGAGUCAGACACAGACACAAAUCAAGAGGAGCAGGACCAAGCUAGAGGUUCAGGGGACCAGAGAGAGGAGCCUACAGUGUCCGGGUCAAGCUGCAAACUCAUCUUCCCGGGCUCUGCUAUGAGUGUGUUUAUCGAGGGAUUCAGGAAGACCUGUGAGGGCCCUAAUCCAAAUUAUAAGCUGAGUGAAAAUUGUGCCUCAAAGGUCAAGAGGGUGACGCAAUUUUUAAACUACAUGGCGAAGAAUGAGACCUACCAGUCCUCUCUCAUUUUCCUGACAGACCAUGACAAAAUAAGGAAGUAAGCAGAAUAAUUUUUUCUCUCUAGCCUCACAAGCAUUAACCAACAAUACAGUAUUUGAUUGUAUGAUUUGUGUGUGUGUGUGUGUGUUUUUAGAUGGGUUCAAUUCCUCCAGAAGAACAAGGCAAUCACCACAGUCAACCACUACACCUUGACUAUUGGUGCAUUUCUUAAAUAUUCUGAGGAGACCCCUCCAUCUGGCUGCCGGCUGACCGUGAACCAAUGGAGGGGGAUCAACCGGUUGAUGAAGGGCAUUAGCAAGUCCAUGAGACGACCAGUUUCCCUUCACCAGAUAAAGGUGAAGGACAACAAGGAAGGCAAGGUGGUGUCCAAAAAGAGCCUGCUGCAGUGCCAGUCUCUUGCCAAGGCCAAAAUCCCUCAAGUGCUGAGUAAGUUUUUCUCAAUCUGUGAUGUCACUGUUUUUACACACUUAUAGACGUCAGAGAUGUAUAGAAUGCAUUAUGGAGUGGGAUUAUGAAGCUGCCUUUUUUUAUUUUCAUGUUCACAGAAACAUUGGAAGAAACAAGGACACAGAGGAAUCAGUACAGGUUUUAUGGGUACCUGUGUGCCUACUUUACAUCCAUAUACGGCCACAGACCAGGCCUAUAUAAAAACAUGUUGGUGAAAGAGGUGGAGGAGGCAAAAUGUGACCAGUCUGGGGUGUACCUGAUCAAUGUAAGUCUAUGAAAUACAGCUGGCUGUGUUUAUUUGUUUGUUUGCUUGGUUGGUUAUCUUUGGAAACAAUUGCAGUCGCAGGAGCGUAAUGUGUUUUUUUGUGUUUUUUCUCUGUUCAAUUUCUAUUAGGUGGGGGAACACAAAACAAAUCGGGAGUACGGCAUGGUCCAGAUGUCGCUGACAAAGGAGGAGUACAGCUGGUUUUCCGACUUCCUCAAAUUCAAGCACUGUCUCUUAGGGGGAAAGAAGGCCCAGCACUUCUUUUUCAAUUCAACAAACACUCAGAUGAAGAACCUGCCUGCCUACCUGAGGGAGGUGUGGAAGGAGAUGGGUCUGCCCGAAUGUCCUUCAUUCACUGACCUGAGGACCUCCAUUGUCACUCAUGUAGGUCAGAUUAGAUAGGAAUCUAAUUAAUGUAAGAUCCUAUUCUAUUGUUGUCUGAAGUAAUAUCAAUAAUAUCAUAUAUUUGUGUGUGUGUGUGUGUGUGUGUCUUACAGGUAAAAAACAUGCUCCCAAAGGUUGACAGGGAAAGGGUGGCCAACUUCAUGUGCCACAACAUCCAGACGGCAGACAAAUAUUAUGCCAUGAAUUUAAAUCCAACCCAAGCAAAUGAAACCAGGGCACUCUUUGAGGCUGCACUGAAGGGGGAAGAUAACACAGUCGCCGCAGAGAACCAGCCCUCCACCUCAGGAGAAAGAAAGCAGAAGGUGAGAGAGGAUGCCUCCCUCUCCGACGGGAGCACCACCCCUGAAGAGACCAAGGUGAUGUACCAGGAGUCUGGCACGUCCGCCGGUGACUCGGAAGAGGAGGAAGAGGAUGAAGAUGAGGAACAGAUGGCCAGACAACUUCCAGUAAGAUCAGCUAUUCUGACAGGACACAUUUGAUUAUCAAAAUGUACUUGUAAACUAUGUAACAGUCAAGUGUGAAUUCUGAGAUAUAUCUAAUUUCUUGUGUUUGCUCUGUCAGGAGACACCUUCCAAGGUGACCAAUCCUCAGGUGGAGAUGGAACUUACCCCAAAGAGGAAGCGGAGCAUCUGCACACGCCGCAUGGAGGUCGCCAUCAGCCCCAUGCUAGUCUCACCCCUCAAAGUGAGGCUCAAGUCGCCCCCCCACCAGUCCCUCAUUGUCACAUUAAAAGGGAUGCAACAACUAAACUCAAAUAAAGUCAGACUAAAAAAUGCCAUUGCCUCAAGGAGGUUAAAGCUGCAGGAGAAGGUGCAAAAGAGAGGAGGGGACCCCUGAUGCAGCUCGAAGGAAGGGGAGCCGACCAACAACAAGACUUCCUCUUCCAAAUAGUCAUGUAGAUUGUUUUAGACUCUCACAUUUAUACUGUUCUGAUUUUGUUUGGUUUGAUUUUCAAUUUUGGUGUGCUUGUUUACAUUUUAGAAGUGUAAAAUGUGUGUAAUUUAGUCUAACUGUCUGUUCAAUUUUCUAUUUUGGUGUGAUUCUUUAUAAUGUAAAGGUUUGUUCUGUUUUAUUAAAUAACUAGUUUAGUAAUUAUUUGUGUUGUGCUUUCUUUAAGGUUAUAUUCUAACUGUCUGUUCAAUUUUCUAUUUUGGUGUGAUUCUUUAUAAUGUAAAGGUUUGUUCUGUUUUAUUAAAUAACUAGUUGAGUAA
ensembl:lncRNA